AUUGAACGCUGGCGGCAUGCCUUACACAUGCAAGUCGAACGGUAACAGGUUAAGCUGACGAGUGGCGAACGGGUGAGUAAUAUAUCGGAACGUGCCCAGUCGUGGGGGAUAACGUAGCGAAAGCUACGCUAAUACCGCAUACGAUCUACGGAUGAAAGCGGGGGAUCGCAAGACCUCGCGCGAUUGGAGCGGCCGAUAUCAGAUUAGGUUGUUGGUGAGGUAAAAGCUCACCAAGCCUGCGAUCUGUAGCUGGUCUGAGAGGACGACCAGCCACACUGGAACUGAUACACGGUCCAGACUCCUACUGGAGGCAGCAGUGGGGAAUUUUUGACAAUGGACGCAAGUCUGAUCCAGCAAUGCCGCGUGCAGGACGAAGGCCUUCGGGUUGUAAACUGCUUUUGUACGGAACGAAACGGUGAGCUCUAAUACAGUUUGCUAAUGACGGCACCGUAAGAAUAAGCACCGGCUAACUACGUGCCAGCCGCCGCGGUAA
rnacentral:rRNA from 1 species